UGAAGCGGGAAGCAUUUUUUUCAUGCUUCCGACGAGCUGCCCUCGAACACAGUGAGGGGGCUAUUACCUUG
rnacentral:sRNA from 1 species